rnacentral:rRNA from 1 species
UACGUAGGGUGCGAGCGUUGUCCGGAAUUAUUGGGCGUAAAGGGCUCGUAGGCGGUUUGUCGCGUCGGGAGUGAAAUCCACUGGCUUAACUGGUGGCUUGCUUUCGAUACGGGCAGACUGGAGGUAUGCAGGGGAGAACGGAAUUCCUGGUGUAGCGGUGAAAUGCGCAGAUAUCAGGAGGAACACCGGUGGCGAAGGCGGUCCUCUGGGC